ensembl:antisense 2410022M11Rik RIKEN cDNA 2410022M11 gene
NNNNNNNNNNNNGUGCCCCCGCCCCGCCCCCACUCGCGGGGUCUGCCCGGGUCAGGAGCCCGAGUGGCGCUGCCCGCAGUUCGGCUCGCGCUUCGGCCCUGGGGGCGGGCGAUAUUCGUCGAGGCUUCCGGUGGGCCCGGGAUCGGGACACUGGGUCUCGGCCUCCAGACGGUCGCCACGGCCCUUUGCGACUCUGCUCGAGGAGAGACGCGGCCUCGAUGUCCCGGCGUCCUCCCUGUCCAGGCCCCCAAGACCCCGGCGACUGGCGAGCCCGGCAAUGCCUGCGGCGGACCGAGGGGGCGAGCCGUGCAGGCGCUUCCACCUUGCCUGGCCGUGGGAAGGGUGUCCCACCUCCGCCAUGGCUGCGGCGGGAGGAGACGUCGGCCUCCAUUUUGUGGGAUCUGUUGGGAGAACUUGGGGCCCAUCAGAACCGAACCCGUGGGGACGAGAAACUUGGCCCGGAACGAGUCCGAUCGCGCUCUACCAUAGGCCUUGUCCUCGGCCGCCAAGAGUUUNNNNNNNNNNNNNNNNNNNNNNNNNNNNNNNNNNNNNNNNNNNNNNNNNNNACAGUGGUGACCCCGAUUGAGGUUCUUGUUACAUAAUAUGUGAAAAUAUAUGACUCUUAACUGGACUUGGUGGCGCAUGCUUUUAGUUCCAACACUUGCAGGCAGAGGCAGUUGGAUAUCUGUGAGUUCGAGGCCAGGUUGGUCUACAAAGUGGAUUCCUGGACAGUCAGGGCUACACAGAAAAACCCUGAGUUGAAAAACCAAAAGAGCAAAAAUAUAUAUGAGUCUCUCUUUUAAGACAAUGUCUAGCAUAGUCUGGCCUGGAACUCUGUGAUCUUUCUUCUGCCUUUGCCUCUCUCUUCCUCUGCCUCUGGAGCAUUGGGAUUGUAAGCAUGUCACCACUGCUUUCUUGGUUUAGGCUUAGAUAUGAUUUGAAAACAAAAUCCCACACCUCAUAGCACAGGAAUGGAGUGCCAGUAUUAAAGGCACAGAAGUAGCAGAAUCAGUUCAAAGCUGACCCAGGAUACAUUAACUGCCUCAAAGAGAAAAAACAAAACAAAACCACAAAAACCAGGCAGCUGAGUGGAAGGCUAUUAGAUGGCUCAGAGGUUAUGAGUGCUUCCUGCUCUUAAAGACUACCAGAUUUGUACCUUCGUGGAGCAGUUUCCAACUGCCAGCAACUGCAGUUCCAGGAGAUCCAAGCCCUUUUUUGGACAAGCUCUUCUGGCCUACCUACACACAUAGAUGUACAAAUACAUUCAUGAGCACAUAUACAUAUCUCAGAGUUACAGAAACCGGAGUUUUUUUUUUCAAUAUUUAAAACGCACAUCCCCUUUUUUUCUCUUCUGAAGUAUGAUAAAAGCAUGCUCAUUGGAUGACAAACAUAUAACCCUAAGUCAUGUUUCUUGUCCGUGGGUUGAUUGGUGGGAGAGUUAAGUAAGCUUUUAUAUUACAUAAUGCUUUACUCUCUGGACGUUACCAACAUCACCAGCAUUUUAUUUAAGUCUUCAAUGGCUGAAAAUAAAUGUGUUAAUCAUAGUAACAUUUCCACGACUGCUGAAGAUGAUAACCAUCCCCCUUUCUCUUAAGCAUUUGGAAAUACAAAACUGUAGGUCCACUAAGUUGAUUCACAAGGAUUCUCUAGGUUUGGAGAGACUAAAUGUUUUUAGGCUUGGUAGCUACAGGCCAUAUGUUUUCUGAAGCCCCAUUUCCACAAUUCUCUAAUAUUAGUACUGUUCAAAAUUAAAACUUACCUGUUUCCCUUAGUAAUGACAAGAAUGAACGCUGUCCCUUUAGUGUGCUGCUGUGUUGAGUGUGUCAGUUUGAUGCUGCUAUGCAAGAGUUCCACAUACCAUAAAUUAGAACUACAGUAGUUUAUGUGGCUAGUGCUUUUAGAGGCUAGAAUUUCAGUAGGGAGACACAUCUGGUAAGGGACUCUGGAAGUAUUGCAAGUGCUAGAAAACAAGGGCAGGAACAGAACACUCCAGUAACUCACACUCAUAAAGGAGCCACUCCUGCAAUAGAUACUUAACUCUCAGAAUUUCACCAUAUGUCCACCUAAAAUGGUAGAAUGCUUAAGACCCAGGUGUCUCUCAAUGUGUCAAUUCCCUUUGCAAUCUCAGCAGCCAAUAAGUAAUAUGGAUUUUGGAAGGGACAUUCAAAGUAUAGAGUUUUGAAAUUCUGGAACAAAGUUUACUCAUUAAUAAUUGGUGCUUUCAUAAAUUUAAUGUCAGAAUUGUUCGAGCUGAGUCUGGUGGCUCUCCAUGGCCAACACUCAGUAGGCAGAGGCAGGCAUAUUUCUGUGAGUUUGAGGAUAACCUAGUCUAUGCAGUGAGUCCCAGGCAUACCCGAGCUACAUAGUGAGACCCUGUCUCAUAAAACAAACAAAAAUAACAGAACUUUUUCUAAAGUUGUAACGAUUCUGUGAGAGUAAACUCCAGAGCAGUGUGAUGUAGCGACAUCGGACUGAGCUUUGCAGUAGCAGACCUGUACUCAGCAUCUGUUCAGAGCUGGGGAUGAUGACCUAGUGACUGUAACACCAGCACCUGGGACUGUGAAGCAGGAAGACUGUGAAUUCAAGGCCUGCCUGGCUUCCAUAGAUCCUGUGUCAACAAAACAAAAUGUUAAAAAUGUAUAAGUUUUUCAAAAUAAGCCCCAGGCAUAGUGAUACAGCUUGUAACCCAUAUCUUUGAAGACAGAGGCAGGAAGCUGGAAGACUGAGCCCAAGUCUGCAAAAUAAUGAGAUGUCUCAGAAAUAAAAUAUUUUUCCUCAAGAAAAUACUGAAAUGUUACAAAAAUUAAGAGACUAGUUAAGAUAGGGCAUACAUUUUUUUGAAAUUUUUUAUUAGAUAUUCCAGAAGAAGUCAACUGAGGCAAUAUUGAAAAUAAUUACUGAGAUUUUUCUAGAGGGCAUGAAAGAUACAUUUCAGGAUGGAAAAAUAUGUAAAGAAUAGAGUAAUUAAAAGCAAACCCUUUUUGGGACAGCCAGGAUACAUCAAGAGACCCUGUCUCAAGAACAACCUCCCAACAAAUCUUUACAACUAUGUCCAAAUGGCCGACUAUUAGAAUGGUUGGAGAGAUGGCUCAGCAAUUAAGAGCACUGUCUGCUCUUCCAGAGGUCCUGAGUUCAAUACCCAGCAACCACAUGGUGGCCCCCAACCAACUGUAAUGGGAUCUGAUGCUCUCUUCUGGGUGUUUGAAGACAGCUACAGUGUAUUCACAUACAUAC